rnacentral:rRNA from 1 species
UACAGAGGGGGCAAGCGUUAUUCGGAAUUAUUGGGCGUAAAGGGCGCGUAGGCGGUUCUUCAAGUCUCUCGUGAAAUCCCUCGGCUUAACUGAGGACGUGCGGGAGAUACUGAAGGGCUUGAGUCCGGAAGAGGGUGGUGGAAUUCCCAGUGUAGCGGUGAAAUGCGUAGAUAUUGGGAGGAACACCGGUGGCGAAGGCGGCCACCUGGGCCGGAACUGACGCUGAGGCGCGAAAGCUAGGGGAGCAAACGGG